AGGGUUUGAUCCUGGCUCUGGAUGAACGCUAGCGGCAGGCUAACACAUGCAAGUCGAGGGGGUAUAGUAGCAAUACUAGAGACCGGCGCACGGGUGCCGUAACGCGUAUGCAAUCCUACCUUUUGCAGAGGGAUAGCCCCAGAGAAAAUUUGGAUUAAUACCCUCAUAGUAUAUAGAGUUGGCAUCAACAUUAUAUUAAAGUCACAACGGCAAAAGAUGAGCAUGCGUCCCAUUAGCUAGUUGGUAAGGUAACGGCUUACCAAGGCAACGAUGGGUAGGGGUCCCGAGAGGGAGAUCCCCCACACUGGUACUGAGACACGGACCAGACUCCUACGGGAGGCAGCAGUGAGGAAUAUUGGACAAUGGGCGCAAGCCUGAUCCAGCCCAUGCCGCGUGCAGGAUGACGGUCCUAUGGAUUGUAAACUGCUUUUAUACGAGAAGAACAUCCCCGACGUGUCGGGACUUGGACGGUAUCGUAAGAAUAAGGAUCGGCUAACUCCGUGCCAGCAGCCGCGGUAAUACGGAGGAUCCAAGCGUUAUCCGGAAUCCUUGGGUUUAAAGGGUCC
rnacentral:rRNA from 1 species